rnacentral:tRNA from 2 species
GCGCCCGUAGCUCAGUUGGAUAGAGUGACAGACUCCGACUCUGUAGGCCACUGGUUCGAAUCCAGCCGGGCGUA